rnacentral:lncRNA from 1 species
GGGACCUCGUCUCAAUGAGGAAGAAAACUCUUGUAAAAAAUCUUUAGUCUCCAAGGGGAACCCAACACUGGCAGGAGAAAAUAGACUUUCUCAAAGUAGUGAGAAGUUCGGACCCCAAGCUCAAGCAUCGAGAAUAAGCAUCAAAUUUGAAUGGCCUUGAAAAGACCUUCGAUCAUGAACAAAAAGGGCGAAUCAACACGGC